rnacentral:tRNA from 1 species
AGGGGAGUGGAUGGGUUCUGGUGUUCCCUCUGGUCUUCAAAACCAGUAUGAGGAGUUAAGAGCUUCUUGGGUAGGUUCGAUUCCUACACAUUCCUGCCA